CUGCCGGCCAUGCCGCUGCUGCUGCGGGGCGAGCGCCUGGACGCGUCGCGGCCCGCUCGGGAGCUGGCCUGCGCCCACCCGGAGCUCGAGGAGCGAGCCAAGCUGCUGCGAAGCCAGCCUGUCCAAACGGUGGGGCCCAAAGGACUUCUGUACGUCCAGCAACGGGAGUUUGCCGCCACCACGCCGAAGGACGGUUCCGUUUCUGUUCUCGGGUCAGAUGAUGCAACUACUUGCCACUUGGUGGUGCUUAGGCACACAGGUAGCGGGGCCAUUUGCCUCACUCACUGCGAUGGAUCAGAUACAGAAACUGAAGUUUUGCUGCUAACUAAUGCAGUAAAAGUGUUGUCUCCUAACAUAGAAUGUGGAAGGCUGGAAGUACACCUGGUUGGAGGCUUCUGCGAUGACAGACUCUUAUCCGAGCGACUCACCAGUCAACUUCUGAGAGCCUUCGACCGCCUGCAGGAGGACAUCCAUCUUGUGACUUUCUGUGUGACAGAAUUGAACGAUCGGCAGGAGAAAGGCAACCACUUUCCAUUUGUUUAUGGAAUUGCUGCAAAUGUUAAAACAGGUGAGAUUUUCCAUGCAACAUUUCCAGAUCGGGGGCCCAAUGAGGAGUUGCGGUCGGCCAGGACCUUUACAGGAGCAAAGGAAAGUUAUUGUUCGGGGCUCUCCACGCUUCAUCCUGACUGCAUUCCAAAUGCCCAGACCAAUUAUUCCAUUUACCGGUCAGCUGCAAUCAACAGUCGUUGCAAAGUACCUGAAGAGUCUGCACAGCCACAGAGCGGUGUCCGAAAGGAUCCUCGUGUAGAACGACUGAUUCUACCCAGGGAGGACAACACUGAUCCCAAGGAACCGCAUGUUGCAGUCCCCGCUCAGCCAUGGAGCUCACCGGGUGGCUUUGGGCCAGCCACAGACUCUCAGCCGAAAUGAGAGCCACAAAGAACUGUUCUGAGGAGAAGACUGAGAGGAGGAGGAGAAUUGUGUGAACUGCCUUAAGCGCCUUCAAAGGAAAAAAGCUCCUGUACUGCAAAGGAAGCAAGCUGACAACACUUGCAAAUCGCGAGGGGAUACCUCAUCGGAGGACUCGAAUCUGGAACAGAUUUCUUCUCGACUGGGAAGAAAGCAACUGAAAUAAGGCAAUGGUGGGCAACCUGGUCUCCUCCAGAUGUUUUGGAGUUCAGCUCCCAUCAGCCCCUGCCAGCAUGGCCUAUCGAAGGGGACAAUGGGUGUCCAGCAACUCGUUUACCCUUAUGGCCAAUCCAAUGUCAAUUGUAGUUGCUCUGUAAAUUUAUCUUUGCAGAUGCUUUAUUUACAUGCACACAGAUUUAUGGUGAAGUAUCUGAGAUGGAAGAUGGGAAGAUUUAGUUUUGCGUAAACAUGCACAAGAUUACACCGGCAAUCACAUGUUUAUGUCCCGAUCCAUGAAAGGCUUUUGUUAAUAUCACUGGUAGAAGUCAUAAUCCACGAAACUUUAAAUCUGUUUCAACCCAUUUCCCACAAUGAUGCAUUAUUCAAAGGCAGCCUGAAAUGCCUUAAAAUAUAAGAUACCUCAAAAUUUGGAAGUAAGCUUAAUUGCAGAGGGGAAAAUUUAAUUGUUUUGCACACCUCAAUUAACACAGUUCAGUUUUCUGAAAAGAACACUUCCAACUAUCGUAUUUAGGGAAUGCACACGGAGAGCUUUCAUCAGCAUACAGCACAGACCUUUGGUCACAAGACAGCAUCUAGACAGCUGAAAGAUUCUUCACAUUCCCACCCAUGAAAGUGGAAAAUUGUUCUGAUCUCAUAGCUGGAGAACUGUGCUCAAAUGCGCCUCCCCCUCUGCAGCUCAGAUGGAAAGAGGGGCACCAGCUGCUUCUCCAAGGUCACAUGAGCAACGCUGGGUGCCUUUCUCGGAGAAGACAGGUGUCACCAAAAUACCAGGUAUCCUGGUGUGCUUCAGCCUCCUUUCCUCCUGCUCUGAAGUGCUGCCCAGUGAUUUGCAGGGUGGGGCAAGUUGAGAGACAACCUUCACUUCUGCACAUCUCUUGGCCUUCAUCGGAUGCCUUUACUCCAAGUUCAGAAGGGUUACAGGCAUCCAGAGUGGAUUGUGCCCUCAGUGUUGUUGACCUCAGUGACUGUAUUCUUGGAAGCUCAGCUUGUUUCCCUCAGCAGUGAGAAAUCCCAGGGGCAGUGCUACUUGGGUUUCAAAGGGAAUGGUGGCAGAAACUUACAGAAUACUUGCAGUAUCUGUAAAUAAGCAGAAUAUACGUGGAAACAAGUGGCACAUCCAUUCCUACCAGGUAGAUCUGCUACCACCUCAUGAAGUAGCUCUGGAGAAAAGCACCCAGCCCCUAAAAGAUGUUUCCAGCGUUCGGCUCACGUUCCCUCUGUUGAAGGAUGGUGCCUUUAAUAAAGUUGGGGAAAGUGCACCAUCCUAAGGUGAAAAGGCAGCAGAACUCAAUGGAGGGCCGGGAAGGAGGUCACAGGAGCCGUAAUGCUGGCCCCUGGUUCAAGUGCCACUGAAGCACCAGGGAGAGUCCACGUGAACUUCAGGGGAUGGCAGUGGCCCAGUCAUUCUCUCCUGGACUAGCCCACCUCACAGGAUCAUGGGGGCUGUCCUGAGUUGUUCGGGGGAAGGAAGAAACACACAUGCAGCCAGCCAGCAAACAAGCAGCAGCAAGGACCCAGAGCUCAACAUAUCCCCACGCCUUCCACUCAUCCUGCUUCCUGCUCAUGCUUAGCAGUCCUUAAAGGCAGACAUGUGAAACUGGGAGCGUAUUUCACUUCAUCCGUCAUAUUGACACGGAUUUCCGUCCUUAGUUUGUUUUAGCACCUGUUCUCCUAGGCUGGGAGUGCCAUUAACAGGGGAAAGAUUCCAAGCAACUGGUUUUCAAACUUGCCAGACCAGUGGGGCUACUUUCCCUAUUGCAAAUUCCUGCAGAAAUUCAUGUGCCAUCAUUAUAUAGAUGCACACGGGGUCUUUUCAGAGGGGUGGGAAACACUCUGGGAAGCUGCCGCCAGUCUGACUAGCGGUGCAGAACCCUUUUAAGCCCGAGAACUGAAUUCAGUUUCAGAGCAGCUCUUAGGGGCCGCAUUCCAAAGGUAGGAGAGGCUGAGGCAAGAAGGGCAGGGCCAAAGGGCUAGGCUAUUUUGUGAGCCCGUGUGGCACGGUGGCUGGACUAGGAAGUGAGAGAGCAGGGUUCCAUUCUGCACUUGGCAAUGAAUGAAGCUCCCAGGGUGAGCAUGGGCUCUCAGCAUAGCCUACAUCAUAAGGUUCUUUAUUUAUUUCUUAUAUAUAUCCUGCCUUUUUCCUGCAAGGAACCUACAAUCCCCCUCUCCAGUUUAUCCUCACAACAACACGAUGCGGUAGACCGUCUGGGGCAGGCCCAAAGUCACCAGUGAGCUUCCUGUGAUCAAGUGGGAACUAGAAACUAGAUCCCCCAAGUCCUAGUCCAACACUCCAGCCACCACACCACUGGCUCACAGUGGAUUGUUCCUUUGAGGAUAAAAUGUAGAGCAAAAGGACGAAGGAUCAGCCUUGGAGGUCUCUGCAAGAAAGACAGAGAGAAUGAAAGAGAGACAGAAAGAAGACAGGUUAUAUAGUUCUGACUGUCAACAACCACAGCUUAGGAGAAGCACUUCAGCUUCUUAGAAUGGAGGGGAAAAUGCACAAAAGCCAGGGAAACAAUAAAACAAUUUUUUUUUUUUUUGGAGAAAGGAGGAGGGGCUAGGGCUUCGGGUGGAGCUAUUUGAGGACCCCUGGAGGAAAUCUGGGCCCAUGGUGGUACACCUGUGAUGAGGAUAAUAUUGAAUAGGAUAGACCUGGAUGCCCUCUUAAGUUCCUGUGAUUGCCAGUGCUGAUGAGACCUCCACCAUACAGGAGACUGAAGAUUACUGCCCUUAAUGAGCAGGUCUGAAAGACGGACGGGGAGCAGUCAGGUACACCAUGAUUCAAAGAAAAAGCAAGUUCUUUAAAAAGUCUCUAAACCAGAUAAAACAUGCACACAUCUGCAUACAAUGUAUUUAUGUGCAUUUCUGGCCUAUUCAAAUAUUUUCACAGUAAAUUGUGACAGUAAUCAAGAAGGCAGGAAGCAAUGAUUUAGCAUUAACUCCAAAAGGUAUAUUGCUCGGAUCUUUCAAUAAGGUUUGCAACAAUUUUGCUCUACUCUUAAUAUCAAAUUUGUUAAACAUUCCAGAGAUAGUUACUGCAAAAGACAAAAAGUUCUCCACCAAAUAAUGGAUUGCCACAGGAGAGCAAAUAGUCUAAUAAUAGUUUGCACAAUUUUGCUAGAUGUCAGACAAAAAAUAGAACAUUUUGCAAAGAACUGGCAAGCUUUUCUUGCAUUUUGUAAGCAAACAUCAGACGUUGACAUUAAUGUUUAACUGUUUUCAAAUGUUUGAAUCUGGGUUACACUGUUUCAUACGCAUCACUCUUUAUUAAUAAUAAAGAAAUCAGUUUGUAGAAUUAAUAGCUCAUUAAAAACGUCAGGCUAAAUUUAUCUCAGCAGGUAUAACAUGGAACCAGUAGAGCAUAUUUGUUUCUGUCCAAAAAAAUAAAAAAUCAUUAGCACAAAAUAAUGCCGAUUGCUUCAAGUCAGUAUAAUUUGGAUAGAAACAUAGAAAACAGAGCGAGUCAGAAGGGGUCUUCCGGGCCAUCUAGUCUGACCUCCAGCACCAGCCGGAGGUCAGACUAGAUCUCACUGUCAUUUAUUUAUUAUGCAUAUUUUUAAUCCUGACAAUUUAAAAGCUAGAUAAUAUUUUUAUAUUCAUUAAGCUUAUAGUCUAAAUAUCAAGAAUGAAAUACACUGUGCUUGCAUUAAUGUCAUCUUGUUGGAUUGGAAUGUUUGUGCUCCUGUGGUAUGUUUUAAUAUAAAUAUCAAUUUUAAAAAAAUCAUACUCCACAUUUUAUGUUACUCAGGGAAAGUCUUUUUUGGAGCAUUUGAAAAUUCUGCCAUUUCUGCUUGAACUUUCCCCCCAUUUAACAUGCUCUGCUGGUAUUAUCUUUUCCUGAUGUCUGGAAGAUGUACUCAUGAAACACCUUA